GGCACUCACAGACUUUUGAAUUCAGAAUAAACCGGCAAAUGAUUUUUCCCGAAAUGACUCUGAUCGACAGACCAAGGCCCAGUUUAUUUUUAGAAUACAUUACAAUCACUCCAAAAUACUCACAUACCUGCAUCACGAGCUGCACUUUUUUUUGCGUGCCUGUUUAGCCUUUCACUUAGCAGCCCCUGAUGUGGCCCUGCUCUGAUCGUUUCUGCACCAUUAUAAGUCACUGACUACAAGUCAGUCAGCUGCAGAAAGGUUUUCAUCUCUUCAUACAUUCAGAGGGUGGGACUCACUUUGAAACGGAUUAGAUAGAUAGAUAGAUAGAUACUUUAUUGAUCCCCAAGGGGAAAUUCAAGGUCCCAGUAGCUCAAGACAUCACACACAAUACAACUUACAAUAAAGUAUAAGCAAGAUGCUAAAAAAUUAAUUAAUAAAAAACAGUAAAAUAUACCAAAUCAAGGAUCCACAGACUGGGAAAUAGAGGUAGGGGUUGUACAUGUGGGCUAAUAUAGUCCAUAAACAGUGUAAACAGGAAAACAGUCACACAGUGAGCCAGUACACAACAUUGUUGUAAGAGGUCAUGGAAGUGUAUGAGUAUACAUGAAAAGGUGAAGAGGCUGAUAGACUAUGCAGAGAAGUCUAUCUCACCUCUUCCUUUAAGUGAAGCAUUGAAGAAUUGUAUAGCCCUAGGGACAAAAGACUUCCUCAGCCUGUCAGUUGUGCAUGACAGUGAGUGUAGCCUCCUACUGAUCAAGCUCUUUCGCUUUAUGAUAGUGUUAUGGAGUGGAUGACAAUCAUUGUCCAAAAUAUUAAUCAAUUUGCUCAAGGUCCUUUUGUCUGACACUGACGUGAUACACUCCAGUUCCGCUCCCACAACAGAGCCAGCUUUCCUUACCAGCCUGUCCAGUCGUCCAGCAUCCUUCUUCUUAAUGCUUCCUCCCCAGCAUACCACAGCAUAGAAGAGGACGCUGGCAACAGCAGACUGGUAGAACAUCCAGAGGAGCUUGCUGCAGACAUUAAAGGACCACAGCCUCCUCAGGAAGUACAACCUGCUCUGCCCUUUCUUGUAGAGUGCUUCAGUGUUGAAUGACCAGUCCAGUUUAUUGUCCAAACGUAUUCCCAGAUACUUGUAAGUGUUCACCACCUGCACCUUUACCCCCUCACUGGUGACUGGCAGCAGAGCAGGCUUAGACUUCCGGAAAUCUACCACCAUCUCCUUGGUCUUAGCAGUGUUGAGUUGUAGGUGGAUGAGUUUGCACCACUGCACAAAGUCCUCCACCAGGCUCCUGUACUCCUCCUCCUGCCCAUCCCUGAUAUGCCCCACAAUUGCAGUAUCGUCCGAAAACUUCUGCAUGUGGCAUGACUCUGUAUUGUAGCAAAAGUCAGACGUGUACAGGGUGAACAGGACUGGAGAGAGCACUGUUCCCUGUGGAGCUCCGGUGCUACUGAUCGCAGUGUCAGAGAGGCAGUUCUUCAGUCUGACGAACUGUGGCCGCUCUGUCAGAUAGUCUGCAAUCCAGGAUACUAGGUAAGCAUGCAUCCUGUGCAGGAGAUAUGUGAUGGCAUCGUCCACGCCCACUCUCUCAUGGUAUGCAAACUGUAGCGGGUCUAGUGCAAGACGUACCUGGGGUCUAAGUAUCCCCAAAACCAUGGUCUAUAUCCAAUGGACAAUUCAUCUAUAUCCAAUGGACAAUUUGUC
ensembl:lncRNA